UAAAUGUCACGUUGAUGAAUUACAUUGCCAUAUAUGUCACGUUAAUAAGUUACGUUAUGAUGGGAGCUGCCCCCCCUCCUCUCUCUCUCUCCAUCGGUUUCUUCAACCUUUAGCCAUGAGGAAGGGUUUAAGCUAGUCUCACCCUCCCCUCUUUUGUUGAUUUUGUUUGCAUUUUAUUGUUCUUUUCUUGCCUUUUUUUUUCUCUCCCGAUUCAAAUUUGGGAGUUCUCUUCUCUUGGUCUAGUUCUCAAUUUAAGAAUUUGAAUUCUCACAAUUUAGUUCCAUAUUUUGAUGCUAUCAUCUCCUGAUCUAGAUCUAGGAGUUUAAUAAAUAUGUUUUUAGGGAUUCAAUGCCCCUCUACUAUGUUUGUGUAUAGGUUCUUUGCCUCCAGUUUUAAUGAUGAUUGCAAGAGUUUUGACGUCUUAUUGAAUCGUAAAGUUUUGCUCCUCCACAUGGUAGAUUGUACUCGUUCAACCUAAUUUGGUUAUCUCCGUAAGAUGAUGGCGUAAAGGCCGAAACUAUGCGCGCACCACCAAUUGGCAAAGUCAUAGUUAUUGGAGAAGGAAUUUUAAGCAUGUGCUCAUCAUUGACAAAGAUACGAGAUCCAGUGAUUGGUUGCUAAUUAUUUUGCUCAACAAAUAUGUUCUCUUGGAACAAGUGUGUGGUUAACUUUGCUGGUGUUCCAUUGAUCCUUGUUUUCUGGAUUUGGCUUUGCUUUUCACUAUUCUUGCUCUGUUUUGAUUUGUUCUGUCAUGAACACUAUGUACUUAUGUAUCAUUUUGAGUAAUGAAUAUAAUCUUCUUUCGAAUUUAAAAAAAAAAAUUCAUGUUGUGAUAAAUCACGAAGAUGAGCCAUGUUGUAAUAAAUAUUUUAAGAUGAGUCAUGAUGUUGUAAUAAGUGUUUUAUAAUGAGUCAUUGUGUUGUAUUAAUCGUAAGUCAUAGAUGUGAAUCACAUGUUUACAAAAAGCACUGGUUUUGUCUGUCUUUCGGUUUCAUUAAUAGCAAAAGAGCCUGACUAUAUAGGGACGAUUACGCUUGACUAAUAGAAUAUCAAGUCAAAGGGCCUGAAAAACGUAAUAUGCUACUACUAUAGGCUCGCUUCGCUUCUUCAAGCUCCGCCCCUUAUUGAAGACUAAAGUACCAUUAAUAAAGUUGGACGGACCCAAGAAAGAAAAGAAAGAAUUGACUCAUGGGGAUCAUCCUAUGAGGGCAAGAGAAAAGAGUGAUCCAAAGGCAGUUGUGUUCUUGAGGAAAAGAGAUGGGAUGCUUUAGGAACUUGAGAGGAUCAGAAGUUAUAUUGAGCUCACCGCUGGCGUUGAACUACAGGAGGAUUUUCCUGAUGGGGAGCAAUAACUGUCCACAAGGUUGUUCGGGUUUCCCAUACUUCCCUCCUCCAUCAGCACGACAUCGCUGCAUGCCGGGACACUUCGAGGUGGAUCACCGUCAGCGUAGUCAUCAUUGUCGUCGUCGUAGCCGUCGGUGUUAUUAUCAAAAUCGUCGUGGUCCCGGGGACAGAACCGCCACUUCACCGAAAUUGAUAUUGAAGCCUAAUAUUCCAAAAAUAACGUCAGUGCCGCAAUCGCCGCAACGGGGGAAGGCCGCGACGUUGACCUCAUCGCCGCGAUUGCGGGAGAACGCUGGUGAGGCACCAACAGCCUCAUCGUUGGCAAAGCCUGAUGAGGUGUCAACAACCUCAUGGUGGCCGCCGCCGUCGAGAAUGUAUGGUACCUCCACUAGUGCACCUUUUGAAUGGAGGAGAUUAUGUAAAGCCAAAAGAAACAACAUGUACAGACGAUUUUUCUUAGCUAUCGCAUCAACAAACAAAAGGAUAAAAUUAUGGAGAUGCAAACCUAUUUUGAUGACAGCUUAGCAGUGUACUAAUUUCUGGCCAAUGGAAGCAUGUGAUCAUCGCCUUUUACCGAGACAAUGAAUGAUCAGAUAGUGCAUCUACUU